rnacentral:rRNA from 1 species
GAUGAACGCUGGCGGCGUGCCUAAUACAUGCAAGUCGAGCGAACAGACGAGGAUCUUGCUCCUCUGACGUUAGCGGCGGACGGGUGAGUAACACGUGGAUAACCUACCUAUAAGACUGGGAUAACUUCGGGAAACCGGAGCUAAUACCGGAUAAUAUAUUGAACCGCAUGGUUCAAUAGUGUAAGACGGUUUUGCUGUCACUUAUAGAUGUAUCCGCGCCGCUUUAGCUAGUUGGUAAGGUAACGGAUUACCAAGGCAGCGAUGCGUAGCCGACCUGAGAGAGGGGACGGCGAGACUGGAAGUGAGAGAGAGGCCAGACUCCGACGGGAGGAAGCAGUAGAGAAUCUUCCGAAAUGGGCGAGAGGUUGACGGAGCAACGCGGGGUAAGUGAUGAAGGAAUUGGGAUGGGAAAACUCUGUUAGUAGGGAAAAAGAAAUGUGUAAGUAACUAUGCACGUAAUGACGGAACCUGAUCAAAAAGCCACGGCUAACUACGUG